CAAAGAAGCAACAGGGGCAGUGAGAGGGGAGUGUCUAUGUAACUAGCCGGGUGGGAGGAGCUAUAAAAUAGCUGGGUGUUAUUAGGGGCAGUGAGAGGGGAGUGUCUACAUAACUUGCUGGAUGGGAGGAGCUAUAAACUAGCUGGGCGUUGUUAGGGGCAGUGAGAGGGGAGUGUCUAAGUAACUAGCCGGGUGGGAGGAGCUAUAAACUAGCUGGGUGUUAUUAGGGGCAGUGAGAGGGGAGUGU